AGCGAACGCUGGCGGCAGGCCUAACACAUGCAAGUCGGACGAACUCUUCGGAGUUAGUGGCGGACGGGUGAGUAACACGUGGGAACGUGCCUUUUGGUUCGGAAUAACUCAGGGAAACUUGUGCUAAUACCGAAUGUGCCCUUCGGGGGAAAGAUUUAUCGCCAUUAGAGCGGCCCGCGUCUGAUUAGCUAGUUGGUGAGGUAACGGCUCACCAAGGCGACGAUCAGUAGCUGGUCUGAGAGGAUGACCAGCCACACUGGGACUGAGACACGGCCCAGACUCCUACGGGAGGCAGCAGUGGGGAAUCUUGCGCAAUGGGCGAAAGCCUGACGCAGCCAUGCCGCGUGAAUGAUGAAGGUCUUAGGAUUGUAAAAUUCUUUCACCGGGGACGAUAAUGACGGUACCCGGAGAAGAAGCCCCGGCUAACUUCGUG
rnacentral:rRNA from 1 species